rnacentral:rRNA from 1 species
CGAACGAGUUUAGGCUCGUGGCGUACGGCUCAGUAACACGUGGAUAACCUACCCUUAGGACUGGGAUAACCCUGGGAAACUGGGGAUAAUACUAGAUAGGCAAUUUUUCCUGGAAUGGUUUUUUGUUUAAAUGUUUUUUCGCCUAAGGAUGGGUCUGCGGCCGAUUAGGUAGUUGGUUAGGUAACGGCUUACCAAGCCAUUGAUCGGUACGGGUUGUGAGAGCAAGAGCCCGGAGAUGGAACCUGAGACAAGGUUCCAGGCCCUACGGGGUGCAGCAGGCGCGAAACCUCCGCAAUGUGAGAAAUCGCGACGGGGGGAUCCCAAGUGCCAUUCUUAACGGGAUGGCUUUUCAUUAGUGUAAA